UGGGGAAUUUUGGACAAUGGGGGAAACCCUGAUCCAGCCAUCCCGCGUGUGCGAUGAAGGCCUUCGGGUUGUAAAGCACUUCUGGCAGGAAAGAAAAGUCAUGGGUUAAUACCCCGUGAAACUGACGGUACCUGCAGAAUAAGCAACGGCUAACUACGUGCCAGCAGCCGCGGUAAUACGUAGGGUGCAAGCGUUAAUCGGAAUUACUGGGCGUAAAGCGUGCGCAGGCGGUUCGGAAAGAAAGAUGUGAAAUCCCAGAGCUCAACUUUGGAACUGCAUUUUUAACUACCGGGCUAGAGUGUGUCAGAGGGAGGUGGAAUUCCUCGUGUAGCAGUGAAAUGCGUAGGUAUGCGGAGGAACUCCGAUGGCGAAGGCAGCCUCCGGGGAUAACACUGGCGCUCAUGCACGAAAGCGUGGGGAGCAAACAGG
rnacentral:rRNA from 1 species